CCUGGUGGCUCAGACGGUAAAGCAUCUGCCUACAGUGCCGGAGACCCAGGUUCGAUUCCUGGGUCAGGA
rnacentral:tRNA from 1 species